rnacentral:rRNA from 1 species
UACGGAGGGGGCUAGCGUUGUUCGGAAUUACUGGGCGUAAAGCGCACGUAGGCGGUGGGGCAUGUCAGAUGUGAAAGCCCUGGGCUUAACCUAGGAAUUGCAUUUGAAACUGCGCCGCUAGAGACCGGAAGAGGGUAGUGGAAUUCCCAGUGUAGAGGUGAAAUUCGUAGAUAUUGGGAAGAACACCAGUGGCGAAGGCGGCUACCUGGUCCGGUACUGACGCUGAGGUGCGAAAGCGUGGGGAGCAAACAGG